rnacentral:tRNA from 1 species
CCGGGUGUAGCGCAGCUUGGUAGCGCGCUUGAAUGGGGUUCAAGAGGCCGCAGGUUCAACUCCUGUCACUCGGACCA